rnacentral:tRNA from 1 species
GGAUGGGUGGCUGAGCGGUCGAAAGCAGCAAGCUUAAACCUUGCCGAACGUGUAUGUGUUCCGUGGGUUCGAAUCCCACCCCAUCCACCA